rnacentral:rRNA from 1 species
UACAGAGGUGGCAAGCGUUGUUCGGAAUUACUGGGCGUAAAGGGCGCGUAGGCGGCCCGUCAAGUCCCGUGUGAAAGCCCCCGGCUCAACCGGGGAACGGCGCGGGAAACUAGCAGGCUUGAGUUCGGGAGAGGGAAGCGGAAUUCAUGGUGUAGCAGUGAAAUGCGUAGAGAUCAUGAGGAAGACCAGUGGCGAAGGCGGGUCUCUGGACAGUUCCUGACACUGAGGCACGAAGGCCAGGGGAGCAAACGGG